UCGGUUUGGCCUCAAAAUCGGGGGGCGAGUCCGGUGCGGCCGGACGGCGUCGAGUCGAAGGACACGUGGUACCAUCGCGAAGCUUGCGUCGAGGUGAAGCAUAGUCAUGAACGCGUCGGGUCCGUAUGAUGCUUUCCUAUUACCGUUCUAAUCGUUUUCCACUCCGGAUGCCUACGUAGAUAUGGAGCUCUUGUAGGUUGUUUGGUGGUGGGGUUCUUAUUCUUUGAGAGCAUUUAGGUGAGAGAGGGAGAGAGAUGAGAGGGACUUUUGAUCUUAGUUUUUACUGUGCUUAACCGAAUAAGGUAGAGUAAUAAAGAUUCAUUCUCGUGCUUGCUUCACUUUGUCACCCGAGCGUUUUUCUUUUUCUGCGUUUUCGGGUGAUUUUCUUGUGAAUUUUCGUUCGUCGGUUUCGAGGACGAUUUGAGCCGGAUUUCCUGAGGGGUUUCGGUGCUAGGAUAUGUGAGAAGAUAUCUUGAUCAUCAAUUGAUCCUUUCCCCUCACGAGCAUCUCGAAUUUAAGGUUUUUCUAUGAGAUCCUCUUUUCUAGGUCUCUUCGGUUCUUUGCGAAAUUGAUGGGCAAAUCAUGAGCCACUUGGGUGGAUCUCUUAGCUGGUGAUUCAUCACAUCUCAUUGUGCCUACAGUUCAAAUCUUGUGUCAAUCGGAGUUGAUUUGGUCGAAUUCUGUGAAUUCGUGGUUGAGCUCGUCGGGCUGCUUUGUCUCUGGAAGUCAGCACCGUUUGGUCCGGUGCCGGUUCUAUUGCUUUGGGUCCUAGCCAUCGUAUGCUCCGGUGGAUCUGUUUUUCCUCGCGCUGAAUUUCUCUAGCUGUGUGCUCGAUCCUGCUCGGCUCUGUGCUUUAAGCGAUUCAGAGCAGCAGCAAAGCUUGGUCCUUUGUUUAUCGAUUUGCAAAUUGCAACAACUCAGCUGCAUCGUCUUUCAGGGAAUCAGUUCAGUCCUGUGCAAUAGUGUAGGGAUCAGAAAUAGCAGCAGCGGCUGUCUCUUCACUCUCGGUUUCCUGCAUCAGCGCAUUGCACUUUUAUUCUCUGUUCUUUGUUUUCUGUGUGCAGGUUUCAGACUGACAGUGGGAAUAGGCGAGCUGCUCAUCUUGGUGUUCGACAGAAAACCAUCAGUAGGUAGAGUAAUCACGGUGAGCUUGCAAGAUUAGAGUGAUUUGUGUUUCGGUCAACUACUAGCAAGCAAGUUCAUUGCGCUGUGCCGAUCUUGUGCAUGUGUUGACUGCCAGGAGCUCUCUAGCUUUAUUUUUGUCUGGCAUUUCGAUCAGUUCAGCUACUGAGUAUAGAAGUAAUCUUUGUGAUGUGUCAUUUUCGAGCUACAGUGAUGCAACAAUGAAUUGACUUCAAGCAAUCAUGAGCAAAUCAUUUGGGUAUUAAUUUAUUUGGUUUUGCUUGCUCAAGUGUGCUCGGGAAGGCUUUUAGGUGCUCUUAAUUUUCGUGCUGGCUGAUGUGUACUGCUUUUCAGUUUCAGUUCAGAACACAACAGCACGUACAGUAGUGGUACAGCAGCACUGGUGUUACAUGAGCUCUUGCAUGCUUUGUCUAGUUAGCUUGUUUUUUUUCAUAUGAUCAAUUAGAGCUCUUUUGACGGGUUAAUUUGGUGAGAGUUUCGUAACCUGUGUUGUCUUAUUUCACUUCCUCAUUGCUUUGAGAAUUCCUAAUCCAUUCCUAGGGUGACAUCGUCACUAGUUGGCUUGUGUCACCUUAGGUUUUAAUGUGAGAUGUGGUUGGGGUGGCAAUGGAGACAUAGGCUUGUGCUGGGAUAUCCCCCCUCCCCCUCCCCAGUCGCCCAUCCCGGCCCUUCAAUAUCAAUCACACAGAUUGUUUUAUAAUCUCACAGAUUGUUGGGCUCUUUUUUUUUUCUUUCAAAUAAUGUCUUGGUUGAUGGAUUGAUGAAACAGUACAAUAGAAAGCACACGAUUGGUAGACACGGUUAUCUGCAUUGAUUUGCUGAGCUUCCUAUAAAAUGGCUUCUGGAUGGCAAGCUAUUGAUCUACAAGCACUCUAGUUGUAGAAGCUACGCUCAUCUGAAUAAUGAAGAGGUGAGUUAGCCACCGCAUUGCUCUUCCUCCUGUGCAGUCUAAGAAACUGCAGGUUCUUACGAAAACUGAGGCAUGUACACACAUUUCCCCUUGGUUUAGGUUCAAAUUUCCGGAUCCAGUCAAUUCGUGAAUGUGAGGGGUCGAUCUAUCAUGCUUCAUAAUUACAGUAUGUAGCUGCAUCUCGGCAUGCGAAGCAUCAGGAAAUACGAUGUGCAGAAAAGAAGAAGGCGAGGCUGCUUGGUGGACAUACUUUGUUAUCGAUGUUGCUGCUGGAGAUGGACCAAGCAUUCGCAACAGACAUGGAUAUCCAUUCCCUCGGGCAGGACCCUAUGCCCUGCAAAGCCGAGUUCUUCACUAAGUACGCAGACGCCGACGCCCGUUAAGCCUUCCCCAAGAUUUCUGAACCACGCUCAUCUCUCCACGUGCAAGAACGAAUCAGAAAACCUGUGUGGGUGACAAACUGCAGGCACGCCGUCAGCAGCAACUUGCCAUGAAGGAUCGGAAGCUCCUCGAUGAAAAAUCUAUUUCCUUUUCUAGAUUUUAUACAUGACAACUCAGGGGGUGAGAAUUCAU
rnacentral:lncRNA from 1 species